rnacentral:SRP_RNA from 1 species
UACCAAUUACUAAUUACCAAUUCAUUCAAGGUGAGGGCAACCGGGUGGCGUGGAGUGUUGGGUCUUGCGCGGCAGGAGCCUAUGAACCAGGUCAGGGCCGGAAGGCAGCAGCCUUAAGUAGUCACUUCUGGGUGCCGUAGGGUAGCCUGGCAGGAGUCACUCGGUUGCCGUCACCUUGAGCUUUGGUA